GAGGAGUGAUCCCAGGGAGCAGGAGUGCAUCCCAGAUUCAGAGAGAGCCCAUUAAAGGGUGCAUGAUUGAGCUGCUUCCCGCUGUGGGCAAUUGAGGCUCAGUCCUGCUGGGAACUCUUUGAAGAAUCAUGUUGGAUGAUCCUCAGAAUUAUCCAUCCGAAACCCAGAAGAGGCGGAUAUUUAUGCACCAGUCCUUUCCCCUGUUGGACCAGGGCUAACCCAGGGUAUAUUAAUUCCCUCAUACUUCCAGGUCUCUUCGUGCGUUAGAAGAGCUGUGCACAAUCCAACAAACACCACAGAAGCUAGGGAAGGAAGUAUAAGACAUUGACACAGUAAGGUGACCUGCUAUCAGGUAACAACAGCAUACAGUUGAUGGCCACAGCAAUGCCUGGAGCAAAUGAAUGGGCUGAGAGGAUGCGAGGCAUGGACUCUGGCGCUGACUCUUCUGGCUCCUCCUCCACGUGUAAGGCCCUUGUGACUACACUGGGCACCCUGGAUAAUCAGGCCAAUCUCCUUAUUUAAGGUGAACUGAAGCAGAACACAGAAGUCUAGAAGACAUUUUCCCUGUGAAUACCCAGUCAUGCCUUCCUGACUUCUGGCUGCUUCUUUGACUUCUCAGACAAAUAUUUCAUUUCAGCACUGCUAUGUAUUCCAUAAACCUGACCUAGCCAUAUAUUCUGAUAUUCCCUCUGCUUUCCUGAAGGGUGAUUCAGAACAUCUUUCAAAAUUACUCUGUGGAAUACCAGAAGCACCAUUAUUUCAAAGGCAAAUGUGCCUUCUCCCUAGAGCUCUGAAAAUCUGUUAUGCUUCUUAGGAAACUUCCACAGUCAGAGGUGAGGAAGGGAGUGUUGUCCAAGUGGUAAGGUAGUGUAAUGGGAAGUUGCAGUUAUUUUAUUCCUUACUAAAAAUGCUGUCUCUAAAUAUUAUUAUUUUCUCCAUAUUUUAAAUGUCUGUUUACAAAAAUAAACCAAUUCAUUCACAUCUAUUAAAUUUGAUAUCAGAAUUAGAUAUUAGGAAGUCUGUAUAAUC
rnacentral:lncRNA from 1 species